GCGGUGACUUGGCUUCGUCUUUUCUCUCCUCCGCCAUGUCUCCUCUCCUUCACCGCAGGCCCUGAGAACAAGCAGAUUCCAGGCAGUGCGUCACGUCCAAGACUGUCUGCUGAAGAAUC